rnacentral:lncRNA from 1 species
CAGCAUGGUGCAGAGUCUUGGCUUUGAGAACUUUGAGACAGAGAAGCCCUAGAUAGGCAAGGAUCACUAGUGAGGAAAGUGUGGCUAAAGAGUCAGACUGAAUUUUGUCCUGAAGCCUCAGCUGAUUCUAGAGAGAGGCUUGGGAUCUUUUGAUUCUUUAUAAAAUCUAAACAAUGAAACUCUUGGCCUAUAGUAGCUAACCCUCUUCUCUUUUUUUUCUUCCUCCUCCUCCCUCUUCCUCCUCCUCCCUCUCCCUCCUCCUCCCUCUUCCUCCUCCUCUUCUUCCCUCCUCCUCCUUCCUCUUUCUCCUCCUUCCUCUUCCUCCUCCUCCUCCUCCUCCCCCUCUUCUUGCCUUUCCUGAGUGCUGGGAUUAAAGUCAUGGCUGCCACUGCCCAGCAGCAGGGUGUCAUAUCCAUUAAUCCACAGAUGCUGUGGGCACCAUUAGUAAGGCUCUGGCUAGACCUUCCACUGAGAGCAUUUGAAUGCCAAUGCCA